CCAAUAGCGUAUAUUAAAGUUGUUGCGGAGACACAGGACUGUUACUUUGAAAAAAUUAGUGUUUAAAACAGGCUAACGCUUGAAUACAUUAGCAUGGAAUAAUGAAAUAGGACGAUCGAUCCUAUUUUGUUGGUUUCUAGGAUUGACGUAAUGAUUAAUAGGGAUAGUUGGGGGCAUUAGUAUUCAAUUGUCAGAGGUGAAAUUCUUGGAUUUAUUGAAGACUAACUACUGCGAAAGCAUUUGCCCAGGAUGUUUUCAUUAAUCAAGAACGAAAGUUAGGGGAUCGAAGACGAUCAGAUACCGUCGUAGUCUUAACCAUAAACUAUGCCGACUAGGGAUCGGAUGAUGUUAAUUUUUUAAUGACUCAUUCGGCGCCUUACG
rnacentral:rRNA from 1 species